rnacentral:lncRNA from 1 species
UUUCAAAUGAAGUAUUUCUUCAUAAUAAGAUAUGUCAAACUUCAUUUUGCAGUGAAUCAAAGAUUCUGCAUUGAAGUGCCCCGGGAGAACUUUAGAAACUGAAGCGUGCCCAGAAUUAAAACAUGAGGUUAGGCAGUUUGUCCUAAAUCUCAGGUUAAACAUCAAAGAUUCACAGGAAAUGAUAAAGAAUACCCUCUGUAGCUGGAGAUUGUUAAUGACAUUUAAUUACUUUAUUGUUUUGCCAUACUGCUGCGUUCCAGUGAUCUUUAUGUUCCCUUCAAACCUGAGCCAUUCUACAAUUCUAUAAAAGUUUCCCUGACACGUGAGUCGAAUGCAUAUAUUUAUUGGAGAAUAUAUACUUCAGGAAACUGACAGAGAAGCUACUUGAGGCUGAAAACUCAUCUUAUUUCCUACGCUUGGCAGGCUCAAGGCCUGAUUUGAAAUUGCUUGGAAGGCUUCCAAAAAAAUCCAAAUUCUAGAGGCAAUGCUGUGAGUGCUUCGAAAGGUGGCAGUCUGCCUCUGAAGUAGAAGGGAAAGUAUGCUCCCAAGUUGAGGGAAUCAGGUGAUGAAUACAUAUUUCAGUACUGCAAAGUACUACACGCUCUUGUACUGCUACAGUAAAGCAUUUAAAUGGAUGACUGGUCCCUUCCUGAAAAUGGACCCAUGCAAACGUGCUGGGCUGGGUUGAGCCAAACUCUUUCUCACUUUGGGGAGUUGGGCUAAUGCCUGUGAUAGCUGGGUUAUUUUGGUCAAUUCUAGUAAUAGCCUACACAAUUAGGUUUUCCUAUAGUUGGGCCAGGUUACUGUUCUUUGUUUAUCUGUUUCGGCACAGAUCACAUGGUGGACACUAACGGACAACUGGGACUUGAACGAGAAGCUUGCACUGCAAGAAAGACCAAAGAGGUGGAUAGAGAGAAAGUAUAAGAAAACAAGAAAAGUACCCAAGAUAUGAUGAACCAUAUAUAUAUAUUUGUAAAUUAUUAUUAAUACUACUACCACUACUAAUGAAUAAUAAGGUUAAGCAAAGACUUGGUUUUAGAGUACUCAGUUAAAUUCAAAGAUUUUUAGAAAAUAACCUACAUUUCCCUUCUGAAAAUUGCCCUUUGUCAGCUGCUUCAAGCUAUACACUAUUAAAUGAAGGCCUUUAAGAUCACCAGUUACUUUAAACAAUAUAACUGCUGUAAAUAUGGAACAAUUUUAAAUUAUGUUUGUACUUAUAGUUGUGUAUACAUAUAUGUAUAAUUAUAUAUAUGAAAAUAUUGCUAUUUUCAUAUUCAUGAAAGGAUAACUUUUUUAUACACUGUAUGGAUAAUUCUGAGUGGGCAUUCAACAUCAGUCUCUUCUAUAAAAAUUAAGAAUGGAUACUUUUUUUUAAGAAAAACUUAAAAAUUAAGAAGUAAGAUACUUCUUACUCAGAGUAAGAAAACAAAUGCAGUUAGUAUAAUCCAAAAAUUAUGCCAUAGCUGUAAAAACUGGGAUGUCUAAGGAAAAGGAAAUCUGCAGUUUGGUGGAGAUGAAGGCUGAAUGUCCUUGGUGGUUUACUAUUCUACAGCCAUGAAUAAGAAAGGGGUUCCUAUCCAUUUUGUCUUAUUGUGUAACGCCCAAAGCAUGUUUAGAAUGUCAUUUCUCUGAUCAAUAUUAUACAUUCAGAGUUCAAACUUUGUGUCAUUCCCUUUCCUUUUCUUACUUCCCCUUCCCUACCCUACCUCAAGUGACUACUAAAAUUAUAUUCAAAUAUUUGAAUCUUUGCUUUUUCUGUCUCUCUUCUGCUCUGGAAUCUGUCAGUCCUAGGAUGCUCAUCUCACAGGCUAAUAGAUAGGAAUAUCUAGUGAGUUAUACCCAAGACAGGAAGAGCGUUCCAUCUCCAUUCUUUUUACAGUAAGAAAUGUCCUUCUUGAUACACUUAUAGAUAACAUGUAUACAUAUCAAAGAUCUCCCUCACCUUAGCAUUUCUUCUUUCUGUAUUUCUGUGCAAAACAUAUGUUGCUCCUCUGGGUCCUUUAAAAUAAUUUUUAUUUUGAAAUUGAUUCUGUUUAUUUCUGGGAUGUUACAUGGUUUCAUAAAACUUUUAUUUUUUUUAUUAAUACUAGAAAUAUUAGGAUAAUACAAAAAAAGCAUUUUUUAUGCCAAGAAAGCACUCAUAAAGAAAUGAGUUUUCUUUGGAGAACAUCACAACAUUAGAGUAUCAUUACAUAAAUAAAACGGAUUCCUACAAACAUUAGUAUUGUAGUGCAAUAAAAAUGAUUAAAUGCUAUGGCAAAAUGGAAUUAUCAGCACCUGACCAUGUCUGUGGAAUAUUUCAGAUAUAGAGGAUGUCUGCAACGUGUUUGUUUUGUUAAGUGUAGAGCACAGAAUAAAA